GCCAGGCCCAGAUCCCCUCCCCACUAAAAACCCGCCUAGAGAAGGAAGGGCUUUCCUAAACGUCGCUUAAACGUCGCUUCCGACCGGAAAAGGCGGAGCCCCGCCAGCGGAAAAAGCGGAAAGGGUUGUACUUUGCUCACUGCGACCUUUUAAAUUCAAGCGUGCUUGCUUCGGUCUUUCCUUUCUCAUCGCGGAUGUCUAAUUGUCGUCAUGGCUGUGCUUAGCUUCGGACGCCACGCGUGGUGCGGAGUCCCUGGAAUCUUCCGGGGGGGGGGGGUGCUCCGGCCACACUUAGGUCCUGCAGGAGCUGUAGUCUUUAAGAAAUGAAAAGAUUUUGCCCAGGAUCUGAGCCCAAAAUGCUGUUAAAUCCUUUAAGGUUAAAAAGGCAUGAAAAAAAUAUUAAGGAAGAAUCAAGUGUGUAAGCCAGUGUUAUCGAUGAACAAUGAAGAUAACCAGUAGUAGUUUUGGACGGAUAUUCAAAUCUACAUUGACAAGAUUUCGAUUUCUGUUUUAUUUCAGCAGCAGAAAUUUCUGAAACUGCCAGUGAUGGAAUAGAUCCAGUUCUGAAUCUACACAUUGGGUGUACAGUUCUAUGAAUUCAUGAGCUCGUGAUGGAACGUUCAGGGAUGCAGUGAAAAGAUCACCUAGAUAUGCGACCACAUUAUCUUCAAUCAGCUGUACCGAUGUUGCUGUUUAAUUGUGUCUUACUCUUUAAUUCUGGCUUUUGAUUCAUCUAGCCUGACAUUUUAUAUGAUGUACCGUGCAUACAAGUUAAAUAAAGUGAUGAUACAAA